GUCCUCCCGUCGUGGAAACAAACCACGAACCAGCGUGAGGCUGCGGCGGCGGCUACAUCGGCGGCUACCUGGCUACGACACGAAGAUCAGCGUGGAGAACAUCAGCUUUUCACCGAUUAGAUGGUAAGAUGAUGGCUAGAUGUGGCCAUAGUUGCUAGAGAGCUGAGAAUGUCUAGACCAGUUGGACAACAGUGUUGAUCUAUAGAUAUGAAAUGUUAGAACCUACGAAUAUACUGCUUGUUAAACUGUAACCAGAUCUCCUUGCUUUGGUACUGUUGCUUAUGUUCUCGUGAUCCAACUUAUCUUAUCGCCAGCAUAGGUCAAGCCUAGUGGUUCUUUAUACUGUUUUCCCGUCAGUUGGCCAUGCUCGUUAAACUGCAACCAGAUUUCUUUAUCA